GGUCGGUUAGCUCAGUGGUUUGAGCAAUAAGGAUCAACACCGAGGCCGCGGGUUCGAUUCCCGCUCGGUCA
rnacentral:tRNA from 1 species